CAAGAAGUCAGAGCCCGUUCAAUGGGUGAUGGCGUGCCUUUUGUAGAAUGAACCGGCGAGUUACGUUCCCAUGCAAGGUUAAGGCGAGAAGCCGUAGCCGCAGCGAAAGCGAGUCUGAAUAGGGCGAAUGAGUAUGUGGGCGUAGACCCGAAACCGUGUGAUCUACCCCUGUCCAGGGUGAAGGUGCGGUAACACGCACUGGAGGCCCGAACCCACGUACGUUGAAAAGUGCGGGGAUGAGGUGGGGGUAGCGGA
rnacentral:rRNA from 1 species